rnacentral:rRNA from 1 species
ACGUAGGGUACAAGCGUUGUCCGGAAUUAUUGGGCGUAAAGAGCUCGUAGGUGGUCUGUCGCGUCUGCUGUGGAAACGCAACGCUCAACGUUGCGCGUGCAGUGGGUACGGGCGGACUGGAGUGCAGUAGGGGAGUCUGGAAUUCCUGGUGUAGCGGUGAAAUGCGCAGAUAUCAGGGGGAACACCGGUGGCGAAGGCGGGACUCUGGGCUGUAACUGACGCUGAGGAGCGAAAGCAUGGGGAGCGAACAG